rnacentral:rRNA from 1 species
CCUGGCUCACGAUGAACGCUAGCUACAGGCUUAACACAUGCAAGUCGAGGGGCAGCAUGGUCUUAGCUUGCUAAGGCCGAUGGCGACCGGCGCACGGGUGAGUAACACGUAUCCAACCUGCCGUCUACUCUUGGACAGCCUUCUGAAAGGAAGAUUAAUACAAGAUGGCAUCAUGAGUCCGCAUGUUCACAUGAUUAAAGGUAUUCCGGUAGACGAUGGGGAUGCGUUCCAUUAGAUAGUAGGCGGGGUAACGGCCCACCUAGUCUUCGAUGGAUAGGGGUUCUGAGAGGAAGGUCCCCCACAUUGGAACUGAGACACGGUCCAAACUCCUACGGGAGGCAGCAGUGAGGAAUAUUGGUCAAUGGGCGAGAGCCUGAACCAGCCAAGUAGCGUGAAGGAUGACUGCCCUAUGGGUUGUAAACUUCUUUUAUAAAGGAAUAAAGUCGGGUAUGGAUACCCGUUUGCAUGUACUUUAUGAAUAAGGAUCGGCUAACUCCGUGCCAGCAGCCGCGGUAAUACGGAGGAUCCGAGCGUUAUCCGGAUUUAUUGCGUUUAAAGGGAGCGUAGAUGGAUGUUUAAGUCAGUUGUGAAAGUUUGCGGCUCAACCGUAAAAUUGCAGUUGAUACUGGAUAUCUUGAGUGCAGUGAGCACGGGGGAAUUCGUGGUGUAGCGAUCAAAUGCUUAGAUAUCACGAAGAACUCCGAUGCUAAAGCAGCCUGCUAAGCUGCAACUGACAUGAGGGCUCGAAAGUGUGGGUAUCAACAGGGAUUAGAUACCCUGGUAGUCCACACGGUAAACGAUGAAUACUCGCUGUNUGCGAUAUACAGCAAGCGGCCAAGCGAAAGCGUUAAGUAUUCCACCUGGGGAGUACGCCGGCAACGGUGAAACUCAAAGGAAUUGACGGGGGCCCGCACAAGCGGAGGAACAUGUGGUUUAAUUCGAUGAUACGCGAGGAACCUUACCCGGGCUUAAAUUGCAGAUGAAUUACGGUGAAAGCCGUAAGCCGCAAGGCAUCUGUGAAGGUGCUGCAUGGUUGUCGUCAGCUCGUGCCGUGAGGUGUCGGCUUAAGUGCCAUAACGAGCGCAACCCUUGUUGUCAGUUACUAACAGGUUCCGCUGAGGACUCUGACAAGACUGCCAUCGUAAGAUGUGAGGAAGGUGGGGAUGACGUCAAAUCAGCACGGCCCUUACGUCCGGGGCUACACACGUGUUACAAUGGGGGGUACAGAGGGCCGCUACCACGCGAGUGGAUGCCAAUCCCCAAAACCUCUCUCAGUUCGGACUGGAGUCUGCAACCCGACUCCACGAAGCUGGAUUCGCUAGUAAUCGCGCAUCAGCCACGGCGCGGUGAAUACGUUCCCGGGCCUUGUACACACCGCCC